rnacentral:rRNA from 1 species
GAUGAACGCUGGCGGCGUGCCUAAUACAUGCAAGUCGAGCGAACAGACGAGGAGCUUGCUCCUCUGACGUUAGCGGCGGACGGGUGAGUAACACGUGGAUAACCUACCUAUAAGACUGGGAUAACUUCGGGAAACCGGAGCUAAUACCGGAUAAUAUAUUGAACCGCAUGGUUCAAUAGUGAAAGACGGUUUUGCUGUCACUUAUAGAUGGAUCCGCGCCGCAUUAGCUAGUUGGUAAGGUAACGGCUUACCAAGGCAACGAUGCGUAGCCGACCUGAGAGGGGGAUCGGCCGCACUGGAACUGAAACACGGUCCAGACUCCUGCGGGAGGCAGCAGUAGGGAAUCUUCCGCAAUGGGCGAAAGCCUGACGGAGCAACGCCACGUGAGUGAUGAAGGUCUUCGGAUCGUAAAACUCUGUUAUUAGGGAAGAACAAAUGUGUAAGUAACUAUGCACGUCUUGACGGUACCUAAUCAGAAAGCCACGGCUAACUACGUG